AGGGUUUGAUCAUGGCUCAGAUUGAACGCUGGCGGCAGGCCUAACACAUGCAAGUCGAGCGCGAAAACACUUCGGUGUGAGUAAAGCGGCGGACGGGUGAGUAACGCGUAGGAAUCUACCUAGUAGUGGGGGACAACUCGGGGAAACUCGAGCUAAUACCGCAUACGCCCUACGGGGGAAAGCGGGGGACCUUCGGGCCUCGUGCUAUUAGAUGAGCCUGCGUUGGAUUAGCUAGUUGGUGGGGUAAAGGCCUACCAAGGCGACGAUCCAUAGCUGGUCUGAGAGGAUGAUCAGCCACACCGGGACUGAGACACGGCCCGGACUCCUACGGGAGGCAGCAGUGGGGAAUAUUGCGCAAUGGGCGAAAGCCUGACGCAGCCAUGCCGCGUGUGUGAAGAAGGCCUUCGGGUUGUAAAGCACUUUCAAUUGGGAGGAAAGGUUCACGACUAAUACUCGUGAGCUGUGACGUUACCUUUAGAAGAAGCACCGGCUAACUCCGUGCCAGCAGCCGCGGUAAUACGGAGGGUGCGAGCGUUAAUCGGAAUUACUGGGCGUAAAGCGCGCGUAGGUGGUCUGUUAAGUCGGAUGUGAAAGCCCCGGGCUCAACCUGGGAACUGCAUCCGAUACUGGCAGACUAGAGUGCGGGAGAGGGAGGUAGAAUUCCACGUG
rnacentral:rRNA from 1 species